AGAUUGAACGCUGGCGGCAGGCCUAACACAUGCAAGUCGAGCGGCAGCACGGGUACUUGUACCUGGUGGCGAGCGGCGGACGGGUGAGUAAUGCCUAGGAAUCUGCCUGGUAGUGGGGGAUAACGCUCGGAAACGGACGCUAAUACCGCAUACGUCCUACGGGAGAAAGCGGGGGACCUUCGGGCCUCGCGCCAUUAGAUGAGCCUAGGUCGGAUUAGCUAGUUGGUGAGGUAAUGGCUCACCAAGGCGACGAUCCGUAACUGGUCUGAGAGGAUGAUCAGUCACACUGGAACUGAGACACGGCCCAGACUCCUACGGGAGGCAGCAGUGGGAAUUUGGACAAUGGGCGAAAGCCUGAUCCAGCAAUGCCGCGUGCAGGAAGAAGGCCUCGGUUGUAAACUAGACUUU
rnacentral:rRNA from 1 species